GCGGCUGGAGGGGCGGCCCGUCGCGCGCGCGCGCCAGUGCUCGCCCGCCGGCCGCCCGGGCAGCACCGCCGUGUCGCGCCGCGCAGCCGCGCCGCCGCGGGCCCCAGCAGGACGACGCCGGUGCAGUCGACGUGGACGUCGUCGAGGACGUCGUCAACGCCAUCGCCACGGACGACGCCGCAAGCACUUUAGUGAGGGCCCUCCCCCAGCUGCGCCACCAAGACAACUCGCCGGCCCCAGGAAUGCGUGGUUCAGCAUCACGCCCCCAGCCCGCCCGCAUCAGACAUUUGGCUCAUGCACGAUAUUAGUUACUAGUAUUCGUUUGUCUUAAAACAAGAGCGUGAGCCCAUUUUGUCAUGCAUAGCAAAGUAUAUGUGUGACAGACAUAUGAUUCACAAAUAAGUGUGUGAAAAGUGCUAAAUUGUUGAGCACAUGACAUAACUUUCAUGCGCACAUUGGCGUGGUGAUUUUUCUACGCUUUUUACAAGUUCGAAUGUUGCACUUCUGCGUAGAGUAACUACGCACGAAGUACUCUGGAAACGUAAGCAUCGUAGAAUACAUUUCUAAUUUUGUUAUGAACAAAGUGCCCGCCUAAGUCCUUUUCCUUCAUCGAUUAUAAAAAACUUCAACUUUUAAGAUAUUCUUUUCGUUCUGUUUCUUAACAAUGUGAUCGGGGCAGGGGAUGCUGACGACACGCAAGUUUCCAGAGUACUGCAAUUUAAUUCAGGAUUAAAAAUUACUUUUCAUACAAUGUUGUCUUAUGGGGUCGGCGCACAAAUAUUAUUACUUUUAAACUGAGCGUUUUAAAUAAUAAAUGAACUAAACACAAUAUUUAUACUCUGAGCUAUCUUCAGCAACUGUCGGUAUAUCACAUGUUAAACUUUUCACCAAUACAUCUAAAACAGUGUCUGUUA